GCUUUCGUGGUGUAGUGGUUCUGCACUCUGGACCUGUAUUUCAGAGGUCCGUGGUUCGAUUCCUGGCGAAAGCG
rnacentral:tRNA from 1 species